GUACAGGGGUGGCGAACUCUGGUUCUGGCAGGCGCAGCCCUGCAGAGUUUAGCUCCAACCCUAAUAAGAACUCACUUGCCUGUAGCUUCCUAGUAACCCUGUCAGACAUUGAUUACCUUGUUCAGGUGUGUUUGAUUAGGGUUGAAGCAAACCUCUGCAGGGCUGCAGCUUUCCAGGACCGACGUUUGCCACCCCUGCACUAGCAUCAUAUCUCAUUAUUCUGUGUUAUGCUGCCCUUUUGUAGGCAGGUAUCUUAAGUGGUUCUUACGGACCUCUUGAAGGGAUUUUUAAGCAUUUUCACCUGACAGAUCUGCUUGGCUGAGGACUAAAUCUAACUAACAUUCCUUCAGGAAUACAUUAUCCUCAUCUUCAUCCAAACCACUGCAGUCUGGCACAGCCACCCUGCUAACACACCAGUCAAGAGACAAGUCAUGUUCAUUCCUGGCUGACAUUAGAGAAGAGGGUCUAUUAUAUAAAUCAUCUGUCAAAACAUAUUUCCUAAAUGUUAAAGAAAAUUGUUUAGACUUGCUGCUACCGCAUGUUGGCUUUAAGAGAUAUUGCCAAACGCCACUGAUAAAUUGUUUAAAGGAAAUUAUUUUCUCUGUUAAAAGGAAACUAUUUUCAACUUUGCUGUCAUUGUCUAUUAGUGAUUAAACAACAUCCUUAACGUAACUUGUAUUACUUGAGAAGAUUACAUCAAAUACACAGAGUUUCUCUAGUAAGACUGUAUUAAAAUUCCGUGGAUUCUUUUUAUUAUUUCCUAUUCAAAACAGCUUCUCGGCAACUACUGGACGCAAGUGUAACUUUGUCGUUUUGCAUGCAAGUCUCUUCAAGUGUGUGUUUUAAGGUUAAAGAUCACAGUUUGCUUAAAAGUAGCUCAUUGGUGGGCUUUUCAUGAAGCCAAAAUCUGUUUCCAAACAGAUAUGACUCUUCUGAUCAUUUAUAUUUAUUUGAGUACCUCUUUUUGCAUAUUUAAGUGA